rnacentral:tRNA from 1 species
GUUUAUAUAAUUUAAGAAAGAAUAUUACAUUGAAGCUGUAAAGGUGAUAAAUUAUAUCUGUAAAUA